GAAAAAUCUAAGAGAUUGUGUUUAAGUGUGUUCUUGAAUAGAUUAGACUGGGUUUGAUUGAGACUCUAAGGAAAUAAACCAAGCCUCAAUUACUUUUAGGGGAAGGAGACCCCAUUGUAAGAGAAGGAAGCUGACCAGCCAUGGCAGCUUGGAAAAUGACAAGUCUCAGGGGCAAAUGCUGGCAAGGCCUGUCCAUUCAGUGUCCAGGCAAGAAGAAAGCUUGGCAAGCAGACCUGAGCAAAGAGGUUUGCCAGGCAAAGCAAACCCUCUAGUGGGUAAGAGCGCUUUGAGCAAUUCAGCCGAAAGAUAGGUCUUCUAUUCAACCUUUGCCACAAUUCCUUGCUCGCUCUUCUGGAUAAUUUGGCUUCUUGGGUAUUCGUUUUUCAACAGGGAAAGAACAAAGUGCUCUGGCUUGUGUGAACUUCCAGUACUCUCGAAAGCUGAUUUUCUCAUUAUAAAUGAAUAAAUUGGCGUUCUGGUUAUAACUUGGCUUCUCCAGUAAUUUGCCUCCAGGGAGAGAAUGGACUGAUCUCCGUACUAGAGUGUUCUGUCUGCUUGCCAGCUUAACUUCGCUUUGUAAGCGAAUAAAUGGGCCUCCUGUAGUUAUAUAUCGGCCUCUCAGGGGUGCCUGGUUAAUGCCUGGUUUCCUGGGGAAGAAGGACCAGGUGAGAAGUGCCAACAAACAGGUCUCCUGGCCUGCAGGAGAGCAGGCUCCUCAAGUGGAGAAAUCAUCAAGGCAAUGAAUGCGGUCUCCUGGGGUCUCUUGGGAGAGAGCUGGUGUCUGAACCACAGUGACACGUGGCCUUAACACGAGGAACUGAACCUUCAUGCCCCAAAGGAAGCAAGUUUGGAUCCUUUAACCCCUAAGCAGGUUAUUCCAGCUCAGUGAG
rnacentral:lncRNA from 10 species